rnacentral:rRNA from 1 species
GAUGAACGCUGGCGGCGUGCCUAAUACAUGCAAGUCGAGCGAACAGACGAGGAGCUUGCUCCUCUGACGUUAGCGGCGGACGGGUGAGUAACACGUGGAUAACCUACCUAUAAGACUGGGAUAACUUCGGGAAACCGGAGCUAAUACCGGAUAAUAUAUUGAACCGCUGGUUCAAUAGUGAAAGACGGUUUUGCUGUUACUUAUAGAUGGAUCCGCGCCGCAUUAGCUAGUUGGUAUGGUAACGGCUUACCAAGGCAACGAUGCGUAGCCGACCUGAGAGGGUGAUCGGCCACACUGGAACUGAGACACGGUCCAGACUCCUACGGGAGGCAGCAGUAGGGAAUCUUCCGCAAUGGGCGAAAGCCUGACGGAGCAACGCCGCGUGAGUGAUGAAGGUCUUCGGAUCGUAAAACUCUGUUAUUAGGGAAGAACAAAUGUGUAAGUAACUAUGCACGUCUUGACGGUACCUAAUCAGAAAGCCACGGCUAACUACGUG